rnacentral:rRNA from 1 species
CCUACGGGUGGCAGCAGUGAGGAAUAUUGGUCAAUGGACGCAAGUCUGAACCAGCCAUGCCGCGUGCAGGAAGACGGCUCUAUGAGUUGUAAACUGCUUUUGUACGAGGGUAAACGCAGAUACGCGUAUCUGUCUGAAAGUAUCGUACGAAUAAGGAUCGGCUAACUCCGUGCCAGCAGCCGCGGUAAUACGGAGGAUUCAAGCGUUAUCCGGAUUUAUUGGGUUUAAAGGGUGCGUAGGCGGUCGGAUAAGUUAGAGGUGAAAUCCCGGGGCUCAACUUCGGAAUUGCCUCUGGUACUGUUCGGCUAGAGAGUAGUUGCGGUAGGCGGAAUGUAUGGUGUAGCGGUGAAAUGCUUAGAGAUCAUACAGAACACCGAUUGCGAAGGCAGCUUACCAAGCUACUUCUGACGUUGAGGCACGAAAGCGUGGGGAGCGAACAGGAUUAGAUACCCUAGUAGUC